GCGGCAGCCUUAACAUGCAAGUCGAACGGCAGCACGGGAGCUAUCCUGGUGGCGAGUGGGGAACGGGUGAGUAAAGUAUCGGAACGUGCCCAGUCGUGGGGGAUAACGUAGCGAAAGUUACGCUAAUACCGCAUACGAUCUAUGGAUGAAAGCGGGGGAUCGCAAGACCUCGCGCGAUUGGAGCGGCCGAUAUCAGAUUAKGUAGAUGGGGGGGUAAAGGCUCACCAAGCCGACGAUCUGUAGCUGGGCUGAGAGGACGACCAGCCACACUGGGACUGAGACACGGCCCASACUCCUACGGGAGGCAGCAGUGGGGAAUUUUGGACAAUGGGCGAAAGCCUGAUCCAGCCAUGCCGCGUGCAGGAUGAAGGCCUUCGGGUUGUAAACUGCUUUUGUACGGAACGAAAAGGUUUGGCCUAAUAAGCUGAGCUCAUGACGGUACCGUAAGAAUAAGCACCGGCUAACUACGUGCCAGCAGCCGCGGUAAUACGUAGGGUGCGAGCGUUAAUCGGAAUUACUGGGCGUAAAGCGUGCGCAGGCGGUUAUGUAAGACAGAUGUGAAAUCCCCGGGCUCUACCUGGGAACUGCAUUAGUGACUGCAUAGCUGGAGUACGGCAGAGGGGGAUGGAAUUCCGCGUGUAGCAGUGAAAUGCGUAAAUAUGCGGAGGAACACCGAUGGCGAAGRCAAUCCCCUGGGCCUGUACUGACRCUCAUGCACAAAAGCGUGGGGAGCCAACAGGAUUAGAUACCCUUGGGUGGUCC
rnacentral:rRNA from 1 species